CCUACGGGAGGCAGCAGUGAGGAAUAUUGGUCAAUGGGCGAGAGCCUGAACCAGCCAAGUCGCGUGAAGGAGUACUGCCCUAUGGGUUGUAAACCUCUUUUGUCGGGGAGCAAAAGCCGGACGUGUCCGGCUGUGAGAGUACCCGAAGAAAAAGCAUCGGCUAACUCCGUGCCAGCAGCCGCGGUAAUACGGAGGAUGCGAGCGUUAUCCGGAUUUAUUGGGUUUAAGGGGUGCGCAGGCGGAUUUUUAAGUCAGCGGUAAAAUCGUGGGGUUAAAACCCAUCCAGCAGUUGAAACUGGGGAUCUUGAGUGUGAGAGAGGUAUGCGGAAUGCGUGGUGUAGCGGUGAAAUGCAUAGAUAUCACGCAGAACCCCGAUUGCGAAGGCAGCACACCGGUGCACAACUGACGCCCAGGCACGAAAGCGUGGGUAUCGAACAGGAUUAGAUACCCCGGUAGUC
rnacentral:rRNA from 1 species